rnacentral:rRNA from 1 species
AGUGAACGCUGGCGGUAGGCCUAACACAUGCAAGUCGAACGGCAGCACAGUAAGAGCUUGCUCUUACGGGUGGCGAGUGGCGGACGGGUGAGGAAUACAUCGGAAUCUACUUUUUCGUGGGGGAUAACGUAGGGAAACUUACGCUAAUACCGCAUACGACCUACGGGUGAAAGCAGGGGAUCUUCGGACCUUGCGCGAUUGUAUGAGCCGAUGUCGGAUUAGCUAGUUGGCGGGGUAAAGGCCCACCAAGGCGACGAUCCGUAGCUGGUCUGAGAGGAUGAUCAGCCACACUGGAACUGAGACACGGUCCAGACUCCUACGGGAGGCAGCAGUUGGGAAUAUUGGACAAUGGGCGCAAGCCUGAUCCAGCCAUACCGCGUGGGUGACGAAGGCCUUCGGGUUGUAAAACCCUUUUGUUGGGAAAGAAAAGCAGCAGGUUAAUACCCCGCUGUUCUGACGGUACCCAAAGAAUAAGCCCCGGCUAACUUCGUG